UGAGGAAGAUGCUGAGGGGCGACUGGUCGUCGAAGUCCCAAGCGAUUUGCUUGACUAGGCAGUCUGCUUUGGAGUUCUUGUUCAUGGGGAGAGAGAGAGAGAGAGAGAACCAUUAGGUCCAUCGCCAUGUACUGAGCACGACAAUAGCAGCAAGCCAUGGGCAACACAGUAGAGGAAGAAGCCAAGUUUGUGGGAGGGCAAGGCCAUUAUGCAGCUGCAGGAGGGUCAAGGAGAAGGCAUCAGGCUUGCUUGGACAAAGAAUACGAGGUAGACAGGUAUUGAAGUUUCACUCAUAAGUUAAUGAAGAUGUAACGAAGAUGUAACGUCCUAGAUCCACCGCUAGCAGAUAUUGUCCUCUUUGGGCUUUCCCUUUCGGGCUUUCCCUCAAGGCUUUAAAACGUGUU